GUGCACAUUUCAUUCUUUUUUCUUGAUGUUAAGAGAAAAGAUAUUUCUGAUGUGCUAAACAAACACUGGGAGGAAAAUUAGCAGCAUGGUUAACUUAGCCAUUGCUGUCAGUCACCUUCAGACAGAU
ensembl:snoRNA